rnacentral:rRNA from 1 species
UACAGAGGAGCCAGGCGUUGUCCGGAUUGACUGGGCGUAAAGCGCACGCAGGCGGCUGCGCGCGUGGGGUGUGAAAUCUGGCCGCUUAACGGCCAGGCGCCAUCCCAUACGGCGCGGCUUGAGCCUUGCAGAGGGCGGUGGAAUUGCCGGUGUAGUGGUGAAAUGCGUAGAGAUCGGCAGGAACACCCAGGGGGAAACCAGCCGCCUGGGCAAGCGCUGACGCUGAGGUGCGAGAGCGUGGGGAGCGAACCGG